rfam:Gossypium raimondii Chr02_contig_34, whole genome shotgun sequence.
UAUUAAAAAUUUCAUUCAUUUAUACGUUUUAAAACUGACGUGGCUGAUGGAAUACUCAGAUAGUGACACGUGGCAUGCCACAUCUACCUCAUGCUGACGUAUAAAAAUUAGUUUUUAACAGUAGAAACGAAUGGAAUUUUUAACA